ACAAUGGCAGGUACAGAGGGAUGCUACCGGGCGACCGGAUGCGGAUCUCGAAAGCCUGUCCCAGUUCGGACUGGAGUCUGCAACCCGACUCCACGAGGUUGGAUUCGCUAGUAAUCGCGCAUCAGCCAUGGCGCGGUGAAUACAUUCCCGGGCCUUGUACACACCGCCCGUCAAGCCAUGGGAGCCGGGGGCGCCUGAAGUCCGGGACCGCGAGGACCGGCCUAGGGCGAAACUGGUAACUGGGGCUAAGUCGUAACAAGGUAAC
rnacentral:rRNA from 1 species